UCUCGCCUCGCCGUUGUUGUUCAGUAUUAAUCUUGUUCUGAGGCUCUUGCUUUGAAGCAGCUACUUUUAAUAGAACUAUGGCCACUAAUCAAACCUGUUUAGAUAUUGGUGACUUGGAUUAUGUUCUUUGUUUAUUGGAGAAAUGUUGCUUCCCAGAAA